GCAGCGGUGGCGGCCACUUUGUAUCACAAAACGGAAAAGAAGUUGUUUGCUUUUAGCCAUUGUUGGAUCAUAUUGAAUGGAGUGCCAAAGUGGGCACAACUUGUGAUCGAUCUCAAUGCCGGCAAGAAGAGAAAUGAUGGCUUAAACUCCCACCAAUCAAUUGGGUUGGACGAUGAAGAGGACGAUAUUGUCGUCGAGAAUGGAAGUGCCAUUGUGGCAAAGGACAACCUGCAAGUCAUGGGAAACAAGUGA
rnacentral:rRNA from 1 species